AAUCUUCCACAAUGUGCGAAAGCUCGAUGGAGCAAUGCCGCGUGAGUGAAGAAGGUUUUCGGAUAGUAAAACUCUGUCGUAAGGGAAGAACAAGUACAGUAGUAACUGGCUGUACCUUGACGGUACCUUAUUAGAAAGCCACGGCUAACUAUGUGCCGGCAGCCGCUGUAAUACGUAGGUGGCAAGCGUUGUUCGGAAUUAUUGGGCGUAAAGCGCGCGCAGGUGGUUUCUUAAGUCUGAUGUGAAAGCCCACGGCUCAACCGUGGAGGGUCAUUGGAAACUGGGAGACUUGAGUGCAGAAGAGAAUAGUAGGAUUCCAAGUGUAGCGGUGAAAUGCGUAGAGAUUUGGAGGAAAACCAGUGGCGAAGGCGACUAUCUGGUCUGUAACUGACACUGAGGCGCGAAAGCGUGGGGAGCAAACAGG
rnacentral:rRNA from 1 species